UACGAAGGGGGCUAGCGUUGUUCGGAAUUACUGGGCGUAAAGCGCACGUAGGCGGCUUUCUAAGUCGGGGGUGAAAUCCUGGAGCUCAACUCCAGAACUGCCUUCGAUACUGGAGCUUGAGUCCGGGAGAGGUGAGUGGAACUGCGAGUGUAGAGGUGAAAUUCGUAGAUAUUCGCAAGAACACCAGUGGCGAAGGCGGCUCACUGGCCCGGUACUGACGCUGAGGUGCAAAAGCGUGGGGAGCAAACAGG
rnacentral:rRNA from 1 species